rnacentral:lncRNA from 1 species
CCGAAUCGAUAACAAUGAUAAACCGAUAACCGAUUAACUGCUAUCUUAACGGUUCUUUAACGGUUUAGCAUAUAUACAAACCGAUAAUGAAUAAGUAAAAUCGAUAAUUUUCAAAAUCGAACCGAACCGACCGAUAUGCAGCCCUAGAUUUUAUCUAUCCUCUUUUUUCAUAUCAAAGAAAUGAAAUUAGCAAAUCAACAAAAAAAAAUUAUGUUUUGUCUGAACAAGAAGAAUGAAGAUUUUUUAAAUUUCAAUUUUUUUUUAAAAGAGACUAUGUUUUAACAAAGGGGAGUAUUAAGCGGAUUCCCACUAAUUGUGGGAUUUGAUUUUACUUUUUACCUUAAUUAAUUAGCUUUAAUGUUGAUUUUAUGGAAGGUUGUCUGACUUAGUUAAUUAAUACAUGUAUCAACAGUAUGUAUCUAAUGUAAUUAACUUGUAUCACCAGAGGUCAAAUGUUGAAAUUUUAGGAGAUUUUGAAAGAUGUUGAGAUUUUUAGUAAUUAAUGUUAAACAUGUCGAUAUAUAUGUAAAAUUUACUUAUUUUUCUAUUGGGCCACUCGAUAACCCGAUAAAAAAAGCACACACUGUCCAAUACUGAUACUCUGGUAGCACACCCGUCCACUCACCACUGACCCAAAACUCUAAAGGCCCAAAAUUCAAAUGCCCAAUUCCCAGACUUAGUCACUUAGGCUUAGGGUUUCAUAUCAUUUCAUCUUCUUUUAAUUUUCAAUUUUCACGCGAUCUGUCUGAACUCUGCCUCACUCACGCUCAUCGGCUCAAAGACCGCAUCAGUAUUGAAGCUCGAUUUUGCUGAAAACUGAAGAGACCCAAGUCGAUUUUUGCUUUUGCUCUCAACAGUCAACAGGUAAGAAUUUUUGUUUUUGCUCGAUUUCAUUCUUAGAAGUCUUCUGAUGGGGCAGUGUUAAUAGUAGGUUUUUUUUUAUUGGAACUGCUUGAAUUCAAGUGUGUUUUGCGUGAUUUUUGGUUCAGAGAUGGUGAAAAGAAGUUGAGAAAGUUGGGUUCUUUUGGAUGUGUUUUUGAGAUGAUUUGUUCAUUUGGUAAAGUUGGGUCACAAAGAUGGGUUUCUAGUCAUACCCAUUUGAGAAGUUCUUGAUUCAACAUAGAAAAGAUGGUGUCUUUACAUAUCCCCCUCCCCCAUUUGGUGAAAUUUCAGAUUUUCACAAAGAACUAAACACAUCUUCUUCAUCCCCACCUGAGAACUAAAUUUUAUAUUAGUCCAGCUGUUCUUUUCAUUAUAGUUAUAUUAGCUGUCCUAUUUUUCAUAUCUGGUCUACUCCUCGAUUUGCUAGUUAGGUUCCUUAUUAAACACCCUGCUUCUUCAGAAUCAUCUCAGUCUAAUUGAUAGUGGAUACCCUGCAGUUUCUAGUUCAGAGCAGUUGUUUCAUUUACAUGAUUCUGUUUUGGAAUUAUUGGUAUAAAUCUAACUGCUUGGAAUCAUCUGGGAACAUGAUUCUACUGCUAAUCGGCUAAUCCUAUUAAUUUUCAACUUGUGUGAGCGUGUGACUUUUACUUUGAAUUUUUCUAUUUUGUUUGUGCUAACAGUUUUAAAUUAAUUUUUGACUUGAGUUUUAAUAUUUUGUAUUCUAUUUGUGGCUUUGUGCUAGGGACUUUGUGCAUAGAAACAAGAAAAAACACUAAGCAGUUGGUCGUAGCGAUGUAAUCGUAGGCAGUAGCUUACUGCUUACUAGCUUUGUACUUUAAAUUAGAUAUGUUUAAUGUUAACGGUUCACCCGAUAACCGAAUCGAUAACAAUGAUAAACCGAUAACCGAUUAACUGCUAUCUUAACGGUUCUUUAACGGUUUAGCAUAUAUACAAACCGAUAAUGAAUAAGUAAAAUCGAUAAUUUUCAAAAUCGAACCGAACCGACCGAUAUGCAGCCCUAGAUUUUAUCUAUCCUCUUUUUUCAUAUCAAAGAAAUGAAAUUAGCAAAUCAACAAAAAAAAAUUAUGUUUUGUCUGAACAAGAAGAAUGAAGAUUUUUUAAAUUUCAAUUUUUUUUUAAAAGAGACUAUGUUUUAACAAAGGGGAGUAUUAAGCGGAUUCCCACUAAUUGUGGGAUUUGAUUUUACUUUUUACCUUAAUUAAUUAGCUUUAAUGUUGAUUUUAUGGAAGGUUGUCUGACUUAGUUAAUUAAUACAUGUAUCAACAGUAUGUAUCUAAUGUAAUUAACUUGUAUCACCAGAGGUCAAAUGUUGAAAUUUUAGGAGAUUUUGAAAGAUGUUGAGAUUUUUAGUAAUUAAUGUUAAACAUGUCGAUAUAUAUGUAAAAUUUACUUAUUUUUCUAUUGGGCCACUCGAUAACCCGAUAAAAAAAGCACACACUGUCCAAUACUGAUACUCUGGUAGCACACCCGUCCACUCACCACUGACCCAAAACUCUAAAGGCCCAAAAUUCAAAUGCCCAAUUCCCAGACUUAGUCACUUAGGCUUAGGGUUUCAUAUCAUUUCAUCUUCUUUUAAUUUUCAAUUUUCACGCGAUCUGUCUGAACUCUGCCUCACUCACGCUCAUCGGCUCAAAGACCGCAUCAGUAUUGAAGCUCGAUUUUGCUGAAAACUGAAGAGACCCAAGUCGAUUUUUGCUUUUGCUCUCAACAGUCAACAGGUAAGAAUUUUUGUUUUUGCUCGAUUUCAUUCUUAGAAGUCUUCUGAUGGGGCAGUGUUAAUAGUAGGUUUUUUUUUAUUGGAACUGCUUGAAUUCAAGUGUGUUUUGCGUGAUUUUUGGUUCAGAGAUGGUGAAAAGAAGUUGAGAAAGUUGGGUUCUUUUGGAUGUGUUUUUGAGAUGAUUUGUUCAUUUGGUAAAGUUGGGUCACAAAGAUGGGUUUCUAGUCAUACCCAUUUGAGAAGUUCUUGAUUCAACAUAGAAAAGAUGGUGUCUUUACAUAUCCCCCUCCCCCAUUUGGUGAAAUUUCAGAUUUUCACAAAGAACUAAACACAUCUUCUUCAUCCCCACCUGAGAACUAAAUUUUAUAUUAGUCCAGCUGUUCUUUUCAUUAUAGUUAUAUUAGCUGUCCUAUUUUUCAUAUCUGGUCUACUCCUCGAUUUGCUAGUUAGGUUCCUUAUUAAACACCCUGCUUCUUCAGAAUCAUCUCAGUCUAAUUGAUAGUGGAUACCCUGCAGUUUCUAGUUCAGAGCAGUUGUUUCAUUUACAUGAUUCUGUUUUGGAAUUAUUGGUAUAAAUCUAACUGCUUGGAAUCAUCUGGGAACAUGAUUCUACUGCUAAUCGGCUAAUCCUAUUAAUUUUCAACUUGUGUGAGCGUGUGACUUUUACUUUGAAUUUUUCUAUUUUGUUUGUGCUAACAGUUUUAAAUUAAUUUUUGACUUGAGUUUUAAUAUUUUGUAUUCUAUUUGUGGCUUUGUGCUAGGGACUUUGUGCAUAGAAACAAGAAAAAACACUAAGCAGUUGGUCGUAGCGAUGUAAUCGUAGGCAGUAGCUUACUGCUUACUAGCUUUGUACUUUAAAUUAGAUAUGUUUAAUGUUAACGGUUCACCCGAUAACCGAAUCGAUAACAAUGAUAAACCGAUAACCGAUUAACUGCUAUCUUAACGGUUCUUUAACGGUUUAGCAUAUAUACAAACCGAUAAUGAAUAAGUAAAAUCGAUAAUUUUCAAAAUCGAACCGAACCGACCGAUAUGCAGCCCUAGAUUUUAUCUAUCCUCUUUUUUAACUUAAUUUGAUAGAUUUUGUUAGUUUUUUGUUGGUAUAUUUUGAAAAGUUGAAUACAUACUCAUAGAUUACUCUUAAAUAAUAUAUUUUUGUGAUUUGUAAUUUUUCCAAAUUUUAAUUGGGGCCCAAAAUUUUGCGAAAUUAAAGAGUAAGAGGCCCAAAAGGUCAAAUAAUCUUACCCAAAUCUUUAGAGCUAAUCGCUAAUCGAUCACCGCCUCAUCUUUUCCUUUCAGUAUUAUUUUGAAGUGCAGCCGCCUUUUGUGUUACCUGUAGCUUUUAAGGAUUGUGAGUUUAUUAGAAUUUAGAUAUAAAUUCUAAUGCGUAGGAUUUUUUGGACUAUCAAGUAAGCAUGUGAAGCUAGCUCGGUCGCUCUUGUAGUUAAUAUAUGCUCCAAGCAGAGGCGUCUCAAUAAAAUUUGCCAAAUAUUUCUUCUACAAAUGAGAACUUUUUUCUUUUUUCUUAUUAUUAUUGUUUAGAUAAUUUUUAAAAAUGUAUUUCACAAUUUUCAUUAUUAUUUCAAGUGAAGUUGCAAUCACGGAGUUUAUUAUUAAAAUUUUUUAGAGAAGGCUUUACCAGCUUUACCAUUGAGUCACCCUUGGCUCCAAGCUUCAUUCAACCCUUUUAGUUAGUAGGCAUACUUGAUACUACUACAACAACACCAACGUACCUAGUGUAAUACAACAAUACAAUUGGGAUCUGUGGAGGGUAAAGUGUACGCAGGCAUACCUUAUUUCCUUGGCUCAAGUGCACUUAGUUAGUAGGUAUUGUGUAAUAAUUUUUUCAGGAAUUAGUCUAAGAUUGUUUUUCAUUUUAUUUUCUCUGUUAUCAAGUCUUGGCUUCAUCUGUUAUCCUAGAAUAUCCAUGGAUUUGAGCCCUCUAUUGACACCACCUUUAGUGUUUAUUUGUAAUGAUGCAAUUCUUUCAUGGCUUCCCCUGGGAAUUUUUCAUUUGAUUUAGCUCUUUAUUUGGCCCCUUCUUAUGAGUCCCAAUACCCAAAUGAUGUAAGGAAGACAAGAAAAAGAUUACAUUAGUCUUAACUGGUGAGUUUUUUGAUAUCAAUAAAGCAUAUGUUCAAACAUUGUUACAAACGGUUGCUCUUGCUCUACGUGUCAUAGUAUAUUUUUCUUCCCCAGGAAUAAAAGCAUUAAAUGUGUUAUGUUUUUUGUCUUUGAUGUGUUAAGAGUGCACUAUGUACCUCCUAACU